UACGUAGGGUGCGAGCGUUAAUCGGAAUUACUGGGCGUAAAGCGUGCGCAGGCGGUUUUGUAAGCCAGAUGUGAAAUCCCCGGGCUUAACCUGGGAAUGGCAUUUGGGACUGCAAGGCUGGAGUGCGGCAGAGGAGACUGGAAUUCCUGGUGUAGCAGUGAAAUGCGUAGAUAUCAAGUGGAACACCAGUGGCGAAGGCGAAUCCCUGGAAAAUACCUGACACUGAGGCACGAAAGCUAGGGGAGCAAACAGG
rnacentral:rRNA from 1 species